rnacentral:rRNA from 1 species
CAGCAGCCGCGGUAAUACAGAGGGUGCAAGCGUUAAUCGGAAUUACUGGGCGUAAAGCGCGCGUAGGUGGUUUGUUAAGUUGGAUGUGAAAUCCCCGGGCUCAACCUGGGAACUGCAUCCAAAACUGGCAAGCUAGAGUAUGGUAGAGGGUGGUGGAAUUUCCUGUGUAGCGGUGAAAUGCGUAGAUAUAGGAAGGAAUACCAGUGGCGAAGGCGACCACCUGGACUGAUACUGACACUGAGGUGCGAAAGCGUGGGGAGCAAACAGGAUUAGAUACCCGCGUAGUCCCUGUCUCUUAUAC